AGCUAUCACGUGAUGCAUUAGGACGACCAUGGUUAUUAUUGUAUUUCCUAUUAAUGUAAGGAGAAAGAAAAUAAAAUAAAAUAAAGCAUUAUUUUAUGCUUAUGGUUUUAAAUUGCGGUAGCGGGUAGAGUAACGUAAUGGUAACGGGUGUAAUGGGAAGCGGGACUAGCAGAUCUUACAUAACGGAAAGCGGGUGUAACAGUCAUGAAUAUUUUUGAAGCACACACAACCUUAUGCAUAUUAGCAUACUUGCAUAGAGAACUUCCGAUCGCCGGCUGUGUUCUCCGAUCGGCGCUGCAUAGUUAGCACGAAGUCGUCUCUCUUUGAUAGCACUGAGAUUGCCAUAGCAGACCACCAGAUCAUUGCCAUCGCUGUCGCGACCACGCCUCGCCGCCGAUCUCUCUAACAGCUCUCUUGCCCCUUAGACACAACGAGACUCUUGGGGGGGGGGGGGGGGCAGCGAACCCUUGAUUUGCAGUUGCAGAGAAUUUUCAAUUGCUGGCUGUGCUUCUCUUUCUCCGAUCGGCGCUGCAUACCAUUGCAGACCACCAGAUCGCUGCCAUCGCUGUCGCGACCACGCCUCGCCGCCAAUCUCUUAGACAACUCUCUUACCUCUUCGACACAAGGACGAUCUCGCGCUGUUCGCCAGUGUUUUUCGCGAGCAGGAGUAGGUGCAACCUGCCACCGCUGCCGCUAGCGUUCGUUUCUUUGCUGCCGCUGGCGUGAGCUCCUCCCAGGGUUUGAGUCUGCUGAAGGUUUCUCUGAUCUAAGAAAGGGUCUUGACUGAUGCCUUAAACAAAAUAGUUCAAGAAUGCUAUUCCUAAAGAAGGAUAUGAAUCAUGUGAUAUGCAUGGCUGCAUCAGUCAUUCAGUCCAAUCCAACCAUGAAGAAUUACUAAUAGCCUGUGGCCUUCAGACCUAGGCAUUUGCAGUAUCCACCUUACAUAAAAACUAACGGGUUUGUUUGCAUUUCUCUUAUUUCCUUUUCCUUCUGUCAAAAUUUGGCUAUAGAUCAGAUUUAGCACAUCCAGAUAAGGGUAAAGCGAGCACUACUAGAAAUCCACUAAUUAAAAGCAGAGUUCCGGAACAGUUGGAUAAUCAAGCCUAGUUUGUACCAAUUUACUAAUGUGAAGCUGGGUGCUGAACCAUGUCAUUACAUUAUUUGAGGCCAUCUGUAUUUCAUCAUUUGAUUCGCAUUUCAGCUCUCACUUGGCUUCCAGGUUUCUCAACCUGAACGAGUGUCCUCAAAUUUUGGUCUUAAUAUAAAUCUUUCUUGGUGUCCUCAAA